AGCUCAGUUGGUUAGAGCGCAUCCCUGAUAAGGAUGAGGUCGGUGGUUCGAGUCCACCC
rnacentral:tRNA from 1 species